UAUUAUUGUAUGGUAAGUUGAAGUAGUGAGAGGUGAGCUUGAAACUUAAGAAUUUUGGCGGUCUUUUUUAUCUUUCUAGAGGAAUUUGCUCUUUAAUCGAUAGUCCGCGUUUAAUUUUACUUGGUUGGGGUUUGUAUACCGCUGUUUAUAAUGUUUUUGUAUAGAAUGUUGGUGAAGAGGUCUCAGUAAAUCAAGUCAAGGUGCAGCUUUUAAUUGAGGUUGAAGUGAAUUACAGUUGGAUUUUUUUAUUGAAAUAUUAAAAUGAGAUAGGAUUUAGAAGUAAUUGAGAAUUAGAAUGUUGAAAUGAAGAUAGUUUGAGAAAGAUGU
rnacentral:rRNA from 1 species